GGCUACAUUACACUGAAACACCGGUUACCAUACGAUCAACGAAGUUAAGCAACGUCGAACCUGUUCAGUACCUAGAUGGGUGACCGGUUGGAAAUCCCAGGCACUGU